CAUGCCCAGAGAGCAGCGUAUUCACUCGUGUGUUAUUAAUAAGAGCUUCGUCUGUCUGGAGCUUUUUAUUAACUGGUGAUUCUGGUUUGGGAGAAUAUGAACGUCAACAUCAGCAACUUUAAGGAGCAGAGAAGGGCGAGCACAGAAGAAGCACCUUACAUGGAGAUGAAGACAAGUUUCGGUAACAAGGAGAACAUCAAACCUGCUAAAACACAACCUUCACAACUCAAACAGACCAAAGGCAGGAUAUAUUUCAAUAUAAUUUCAGGCAAAUUCAUAUAGGAAAUACUUGAUAUUGGGUAUUGCAUUUUUCCCCUCAUUUUUGCUGUUGGAUAUGUUUCAUAUUGUUGUCUUAUUUCCAGAAGAGAGUUUUGGCCUCAGUUUACCUCUUGGAGAGGAAUAUGAAAGAAAAAAGCAAAAGUUAAAGCAAGAACUUCGUCUUGAUUACCGGCGCUUCAUGUCUGAGUCCCACAUGCUGUCUCUCCCUUUAAAAAGAACGGAGAUCAGCAAAGGUGAAUAUGUUUUUGUUGUCCAUUUGUAAACGAAGGCAUAAUUACAGC
rnacentral:lncRNA from 1 species